UUGGGUGACUAUUGCGGCAAGGUCCACCUCUUCCCAUUCCGAACAGAGAAGUUAAGCCUGCCUGCGCCAAUGAUACUGCCCCUGUGGUGGAAAAGUAGGUCGUCGCCAAAG
rnacentral:rRNA from 1 species